GUAUAGUAUUUCAGUCUGGCGAGUAAACAAACAAAUAUACUAGCCAAUGACGAUUCAAUUGCCAAGAUGUCCGUUGAGGGCUGCAUAGCAUGUUUUAGCACU